GCAGACGAUCCUCGUCACCGGCGGCGCUGGCUACAUCGGCAGCCACACCGUGCUGCAGCUCCUGCUCGGCGGCUUCUCCACCGUCGUCGUCGAUAACCUCAGUAAUUCGUCGGAGGAGGCGAUCAGGCGGGUUGCGGAGCUCGCCGGGGAUCUCGGGAAGAAUCUGAGCUUCUAUCAGGUUGAUCUUCGAGAUAAGCCAGCACUGGAGAAAGUUUUUGCUUCAACAAAAUUUGAUGCUGUUAUUCAUUUUGCUGGUCUGAAAGCAGUGGGCGAGAGUGUUCAGAAACCUUUGCUCUAUUAUAACAAUAAUCUAAUUGGGACAGUGACUCUCUUGGAAGUAAUGGCUACCCAUGGAUGCAAAAAGCUUGUAUUCUCUUCGUCGGCUACUGUUUAUGGAUGGCCCAAGGAAGUCCCGUGUACAGAAGAGUUCCCUCUGUGUGCCGUAAAUCCUUAUGGAAG
rnacentral:misc_RNA from 1 species